rnacentral:rRNA from 1 species
UUAAGUGAAUAAGGGCGCACGGUGGAUGCCUUGGCACUAGGAGCCGAUGAAGGACGGGACUAACACCGAUAUGCUUUGGGGAGCUGUACGUAAGCUAUGAUCCAGAGAUUUCCGAAUGGGGGAACCCAGCAUCUUUAAUAGGAUGUUACGAUUGUGUGAAUACAUAGCACAUUCGAGGUAGACGCAGAGAACUGAAACAUCUAAGUACCUGCAGGAAGAGAAAGAAAAUUCGAUUCCCUGAGUAGCGGCGAGCGAAACGGGAAAAGCCCAAACCAGCAAGCUUGCUUGUUGGGGUUGUAGGACUCCAAUAUGGUAGUUCUUUCAGAUAGUCGAAUGACUUGGAAAAGUCAGUCAAAGAGGGUAAAAACCCCGUAGACGAAAUGUGGAAGACACCUAGGAGGAUCCUGAGUACGGCGGAACACGAGAAAUUCCGUCGGAAUCCGGGAGGACCAUCUCCCAAGGCUAAAUACUCCCUAGUGACCGAUAGUGAACCAGUACCGUGAGGGAAAGGUGAAAAGCACCCCGGAAGGGGAGUGAAAUAGAACCUGAAACCGUGUGCCUACAACAAGUCAAAGCCCGUUAAUGGGUGAUGGCGUGCCUUUUGUAGAAUGAACCGGCGAGUUACGAUUGCAUGCGAGGUUAAGUUGAAGAGACGGAGCCGCAGCGAAAGCGAGUCUGAAUAGGGCGUUUGAGUAUGUAGUCGUAGACCCGAAACCAUGUGAUCUACCCAUGUCCAGGUUGAAGGUGCGGUAAAACGCACUGGAGGACCGAACCCACGUACGUUGAAAAGUGCGGGGAUGAGGUGUGGGUAGCGGAGAAAUUCCAAACGAACUUGGAGAUAGCUGGUUCUCUCCGAAAUAGCUUUAGGGCUAGCCUCGGAAUUGAGAAUGAUGGAGGUAGAGCACUGUUUGGACUAGGGGCCCAUCUCGGGUUACCGAAUUCAGAUAAACUCCGAAUGCCAUUCAUUCAUAUCCGGGAGUCAGACUGUGAGUGAUAAGAUCCAUAGUCGAAAGGGAAACAGCCCAGACCACCAGCUAAGGUCCCAAAAUAUAUGUUAAGUGGAAAAGGAUGUGGGGUUGCACAGACAACUAGGAUGUUGGCUUAGAAGCAGCCACCAUUUAAAGAGUGCGUAAUAGCUCACUAGUCGAGUGACCCUGCGCCGAAAAUGUACCGGGGCUAAACAUAUUACCGAAGCUGUGGAGUACACCUUUAGGUGUAUUGGUAGGAGAGCGUUCUAAGGGCGUUGAAGGCAGAUCGUGAGGACUGCUGGAGCGCUUAGAAGUGAGAAUGCCGGUAUGAGUAGCGAAAGACAGGUGAGAAUCCUGUCCACCGAAUGACUAAGGUUUCCUGGGGAAGGCUCGUCCGCCCAGGGUUAGUCGGGACCUAAGCCGAGGCCGACAGGCGUAGGCGAUGGAUAACAGGUUGAUAUUCCUGUACCCGUUGUUUUUGUUUGAGCAAUGGAGGGACGCAGGAGGCUAAGGAAUGCAGACGAUCGGAAAUGUCUGUCCAAGCAGUAAGUCUGAAGAGGAGUCAAAUGCUUCUUUUCUUAAGGACAAGCUGUGAUGGGGAGGGAAAUAAUAGUACCGAAGUUCCUGAUGUCACACUGCCGAGAAAAGCUUCUAGUGAGAAAACAGCGGCCCGUACCGCAAACCGACACAGGUAGUCGAGGAGAGAAUCCUAAGGUGAGCGAGAGAACUCUCGUUAAGGAACUCGGCAAAAUGACCCCGUAACUUCGGGAGAAGGGGUGCUGAUCAUACGAUCAGCCGCAGUGAAUAGGCCCAAGCGACUGUUUAUCAAAAACACAGGUCUCUGCAAAAUCGUAAGAUGAAGUAUAGGGGCUGACGCCUGCCCGGUGCUGGAAGGUUAAGAGGAGUGCUUAGCGCAAGCGAAGGUAUGAAUUGAAGCCCCAGUAAACGGCGGCCGUAACUAUAACGGUCCUAAGGUAGCGAAAUUCCUUGUCGGGUAAGUUCC